GAAGAAAAAACUCACGUCGCUUGGACAAUACAUUUAACUGUUGAAGCUUAUUUAGGAUAGUAAUGACGUCGGAGUUGCCGUCGUGUAUGAAUCACGGAUUGUCCACAUUAAUACAAUAGAAUAACUUGUAAUAUAAUAAAAUAACAUGAUAAUCACGGAUUAUCCUCAUUUACGAAAGAUAUUAAUGUAGUUUUUUGUUUUUUUUUUUCAUCACUCGUAUUAAGUCAAAUUAGCA
rnacentral:lncRNA from 1 species